rnacentral:rRNA from 1 species
GGACGAACGCUGGCGGCGUGCUUACCACAUGCAAGUCGAACGGAAAGGCCCUGCUUUUGUGGGGUGCUCGAGUGGCGAACGGGUGAGUAACACGUGAGUAACCUGCCCUUGACUUUGGGAUAACUUCAGGAAACUGGGGCUAAUACCGGAUAGGAGCUCCUGCUGCAUGGUGGGGGUUGGAAAGUUUCGGCGGUUGGGGAUGGACUCGCGGCUUAUCAGCUUGUUGGUGGGGUAGUGGCUUACCAAGGCUUUGACGGGUAGCCGGCCUGAGAGGGUGACCGGCCACAUUGGGACUGAGAUACGGCCCAGACUCCUACGGGAGGCAGCAGUGGGGAAUAUUGCACAAUGGGCGGAAGCCUGAUGCAGCAACGCCGCGUGGGUGAAGAAGGCCUUCGGGUUGUAAAGCCCUUUUGUUGGGAAAGAAAAGCAGCAGGUUAAUACCCCGCUGUUCUGACGGUACCCAAAGAAUAAGCACCGGCUAACUUCGUG